rnacentral:rRNA from 1 species
CAGCAGCCGCGGUAAUACAGAGGGGGCAAGCGUUGUUCGGAAUUACUGGGCGUAAAGGGCGCGUAGGCGGCCCGCUAAGUCGAACGUGAAAUCCCCGAGCUCAACUCGGGAACUGCGUCCGAUACUGGCGGGCUUGAAUCCGGGAGAGGGAUGCGGAAUUCCAGGUGUAGCGGUGAAAUGCGUAGAUAUCUGGAGGAACACCGGUGGCGAAGGCGGCAUCCUGGACCGGCAUUGACGCUGAGGCGCGAAAGCUAGGGGAGCAAACGGGAUUAGAUACCCCGGUAGUCCUAGCCCUAAACGAUGAAUGCUUGGUGUGGCGGGUAUCGAUCCCUGCCGUGCCGAAGCUAACGCAUUAAGCAUUCCGCCUAGGGAGUACGGUCGCAAGGCUGAAACUCAAAG